ensembl:snRNA U1 U1 spliceosomal RNA
UUUCUUCCUGGCAGGGGAGAUACCAUGAUCACGAAGAUGGUCUUCCCAGGGUGAGGUCUAUCCUUUGAACUCCGGAUAUGCUGACCCUGCGAUUUCCCCAAAUGUGGGAAACUCGACUGCGUAAUUUGUGGUAGUGGGGGACGGUGUUCAUGCUUUCCCCUA